rnacentral:rRNA from 1 species
UACGGGGGGGGCAAGCGUUGUUCGGAAUUACUGGGCGUAAAGGGCUCGUAGGUGGCCAACUAAGUCAGACGUGAAAUCCCUCGGCUUAACCGGGGAACUGCGUCUGAUACUGGAUGGCUUGAGUUUGGGAGAGGGACGCGGAAUUCCAGGUGUAGCGGUGAAAUGCGUAGAUAUCAAGAGGAACACCUGCGGCGAAGGCGGGUUGCUGGGCUGACACUGACGCUGAAGCGCGAAAGCUAGGGGAGCGAACGGG